AUGUUCCAAAUUAUUUUUACUUCCUGAAAGGAACAUUGACAAAAAAUGACUUACCAUUAUAUGAUUUGGGUUAAUUCUAGGUAGAGCAGCUAAACACAACUCCUUACAGGUGAGCUGAGAAGAACAAAUUCCAGCAAAUAAUAUUUUCAAAUAACCCCAGAAUUUCUAGCUCAGAUCCUCCUUAACUCACAGAAACUCAAAAUUUGCCAGAUAUGGUGUGUGUUUUCUGCUCUGAUGCAACUGCUCUUUCCUGCAUAUUCAAAUUUAGAAGACUAACAUGUUAUGUCUGAAAUUUUAAUCUAGAUACAUAACAAAGUAUGACGUGAGUAUGAAUGCAGAAGAACCUGCAGUUCAGAAUGCCAUUGGAGCCAGAUUUUAAGAGUAUUUUUGUUCUCUCUUAGUUUCAGGUUCUUAAAUAUUUUUAACUCUGUGGCUCUGAGUGAGACUCUUUAUAUGCAAAUGACAGGCAUAUUAAUUCAACAGCUCACUUGGAAGAUUUAAAGAAAGGAAGAGAAGACCUGCCUACUGGAACACUGAACCCUGGGUACAGCUGUUCAAGAAAUACAGCAAAGGACAGGUUUGAACACAAGAGAACAUAAUAUGCUCUGUUGUCAAGCAAAAUAAUCCUGCCUCUUCCAGCAGAAUGAGAAGGAUUCCAGCUAAAUGCAUUGCCCUCCACCUUCCAGCAAACAUUCAGAGUUCUCUUCCAUUAAUGAGAGAUUUAUUUCAGCUGAAGAACAUAUCCACAGGGGAGCAACUGGUCCAGCUCAUUUUCAUGCUGAUAUAUUUUCUUCUCUGGGAACUGCAGAGCCACAGCAUCACUGCUGCAGCACACAGCUUAGAAGCCACUAAAAGGCAUUUCUGAAAAUAGCAUAAAAGCUUUUCUGUCCCCAGAUUCUCUGCUCUACACUGUAGUAUGGGGACCCUCUCAGUCUGAGGCAGAUUAAUGUGCACCUUUUGAGAUGCUGUAUUACUUCUGCUGAUUGACUGAGUGCAAAUUUUACUGAAAUACAAAUCUCCGAUUUAAUCUAAUAAAUUUGGAGCUCAUGUCCAGCUAAAUAAACAGA